rnacentral:rRNA from 2 species
UCUCGGCAACGGAUAUCUCGGCUCUCGCAUCGAUGAAGAACGUAGCGAAAUGCGAUACCUGGUGUGAAUUGCAGAAUCCCGUGAACCAUCGAGUCUUUGAACGCAAGUUGCGCCCGAGGCCAUCCGGCUAAGGGCACGCCUGCCUGGGCAUCACG